AGAGGACUAAAAGAGCUUGAACAGUGGGAGGAGGAAAAUGGGGGAAGGAAUAAAUAAAUGCUUUAACCUUAGUCAUCAAAACUGACUCAAAGAGAAACUAGUAUACAUAACCCAGUUGGGUAUAGAAAUUUAUCCUCCCUACAAGAGAGUAGAAGGGGAAAGGGAAAAGAGAAAGGAAAGGGGACUGAUGGAUAGGGGGAUUAAGGGAGAUGAUAGAAGCAAAAUACUUUUGAAGACAGAGUGAAAGGAGAAGAGAGAAUAGGAGAAAUGGGGGAAAAGGUAUAGAGAAAUGUCUAUUUCUCUUAUUAAUCAAAACUAUAAAGAAAUGAGUCACAUUUAUUUUUUUUAAAAGGGACAUUUCUCAAUUGAUAGUCAAAGAAUAUUAACAGGCAAUAUUCAGAUUAAGUAUUCAAACCUAUCUAUAGUCAUAUGGGAAACAAGGACCUAAAUCACUCUUGAUUAAAAAAAUGCAAUUUAAAACAACUCUGAUUUACCAUUGUAUACUUAUCAGAUUAACUAAUAUGACAGAAAAGGAAAAUGACAAAUGGUGAAGGAGACACAGGAAAACUGGGAUACUAAAGCACUUUUGGUGGAAUUGUGUCUACUUCAACCAUAUGAAACCAUAUUUCCAUAGGAAAAGGUGUGAGAACUUGGUCAAUCUUUGGCAAAAAUCUCAGCCAACAAGAUCCACAACGUUCCUCAAGUUGGCCAACUUAAUAACCUACAAGAAAAGGGAUGAGCGUAUUCUAGGAGGUGGAGUGUCUGUGAGAUCGCUUGUCCAGCUCUGGCUCUUCCCUAGACCAUCUGUACUGUGACACAUUCUAGAUUCUUGCCAGGAAAAAAAGUCAACCUUGACCUCCUUCUCUUCCAUACUUUUUUUUCCAACUGAAGGAAAUGGACAAUGAAAAACCAUUUAAAUAUUUAGUUUAUCCUGAGCGUUGGGCAAAGCAUUAAAUGCAGGCAAACAAGACCGUUUUCAUUCCAGAAGAUGUCAGAUAAAGGGAUUGGGAAACCAGUGGAGGCAGCUGGGUGAGGGCUGAUGGAGUGGAGGACGAGUUCUAGGGAAAACACAGUGCAGGCUCACCUCUCAGAGCCCAGGGUCCAGAGGCAGCAGUUUAGCUUCAGUGGGAGGUAGAGGAAGCUCAAUGUUCAGGGUACAUGGCUGAGGAAAUGAGAUCAUUUACUUUCUCCAUUCUUGUGUAAUUAAAUGAAGUUUGCUAAAUGAUUGCAAUACUGUAGGACAAACUUUUUAUGGAUAGAGGGUUGGAUUGGAAUCUUUUUAUAUUAAAAAAUAUAUCAUUUGUUUUUACCCACCCCCAAAAAAGAAAUUUUGUUGCCAAUUUUUCUACCGGAAAAAAUAAUGUAACUAAAUAUAAAAACAGAGUAAAAGAUAUAAGAUACUGUCUUCAAUUUGCAUUGAGAUAAGUGUGUAUGGCUCAUGUAGCAAAUUAGGUAUCUCUAAGAAAAGUUAUUACUUUUCUGUCAAAAGUCAAAAGUCAUGCGGAAUCCCUGCGACUGCACAAACAUUCCAGUGAGAUUCUUUGGGCCUCCUCUAACACAAAUGUCUGGUCGUUGGGCUCAGACAGGGCCGGCAGCAGAUAAGGAAAUACAACAUUUAACAAAGGACCUCGAAGGAACUUCCAGAGGGGGUCAAGCAUUAAUCCCCACUGGCUGGAGGGAAGGUCAGGCUAUUGGUGAACCAAGGAUUCCCAGAGCUGAAGGAGUGGAGGCUUUGGAGUUCAGUGGAGAAGUGGAAGCCUUUAUACAAAGGUGAGGAGGCUGGUGGAGAGGGAAUGCUGUACUCGAGGUGGCUUCUGGGCUUUUCUGUCUCCAUUCCCAUGAGAUGUUGAGGCAGAGUCCGGACACCCGACCUCGGAGCUUGGAAGGACUCACCCCAUCUCAGACACCGUGUCUUGGCUGGAGGACCCUGAGCAAGUCACAUGACGGCCACCGAGUGUCCCCGGUAGCUGCGAGGACGGAGGCCGCCCAGGUGGGGCUUUACGUUGGGAGGAGCUGUGUCCUAUGGAAGCCCACCACUGCCAUCUCCGAAAUGGGGACCUCAUCUCUGCCUAGCUCCUUCCCAUGGUGCCUGUGCAGGAAGGUAAGCAUGCUUGGAAGCCGCUGCGCGGCCCUCUGAGGAUAAGGGCUGCCAGGGGCCUCGGCCGCCACUGCGCAAGGUGGGCCCCUUUCCUGGUGCCGGGAGGGCCAGGCAGUCUGCUCACUGCACACCGUGAAAAGGGCUUCCCCAGCUCCUGGCCUCCUCUCCCGGGGGAGCCGGACCAGACCGGGUGGCGAAUACAAAGCUGUGUCUGCACUCAGGAAGACUUACUCAGACCCUCGCUAGUCGUAUCAGCCUCAACGUCUUCAUCUGUAAAAUGGGUGAUAGCACCUCCCUCCCAAAUCUGUGUGCUGAAAGCUCUACAGAGAUACUAUCAUUUGUAACGGCCUCCGCCCGGGCUUUGGUGUCAGCAGGAUGGUCAGAGAAUGGACGGCAAUUGAUCUUAGUGGAGGAGGCAGGAGGCGGGAGGGCCACCAGGAGGAUGCAGAGAAGGAGUCUCGCGUCCUGUCCUCUGGGCCCUCAUACACCUUAAUCCCGUUACCUCCCUAGAGCACACUGAGCAUGCGCCAACUGCAGAACCAUCCCGUCACCAUGCUGAGCGCCAAGUAUGUAGGGACCUAGAGACCCACCCAGGGACCCCUCCCACAGGGGCGUGGCUGCACGGGGGGGGCGGGGCACACGGAGGUGACUGAGGUGGGGGCGGGAGGGAAGGGAAGCUGCCCCUGACACGCGGAGGGGGGGGAUGUAUGUGACAGCCCUGGCUGGGGGGAGGGGCACUCAGAUGGGGAGCCCGGUGGGUGGGGUCCACCCACGGGGACGGGAAAUAGCUGGGACGGACGGCCAGAGGCUCGGAGCCGGAAGCGAGCCGGGGGCUCCACGGCAGCCCUGGACGGGCCGGUGCCGGCGCACGGAUGAAAGCCGGCCGGGACACGGGCGGGGGAAGGCCGGGACAGGGACGGGGAGGCUGACAGGGACGGGGGAGGCCUGGACAGGGACGGGGGAGGCCGACAGGGACGGGGUGGGAGGCCGGGACACGGGCGGGGGACAGUUGGGCGCCGGGAGACACUGGGACGAGGUGGCCCGAAGGGUUCGUUCCCGGCCCGCCGCGCUGAAGCCCGCAGCCACACAGGGCCCUCCUGCAGUUGGCCGGGCGGCCGGACCCUAGGGAGCGGAGCAGCUGCAGUCCCCGCUCCCCAGGGGGAAGACCUCGGCCUCGCCCCCGCCCCCGCCCUGCGCGCUACAGACACGUGCCGCUCUGGCGGCACGCGCCCCGCCUUCGGCCCCCUCGGGCGCGCGCUUACCCCGCCCCCUCUGCCCCGGGCUGCCCCCGCGCCUGUUUGGGUCUCGUUCUUGCCCCUGAGGCCCCGAGGAAGCGGGUCAGCCCCGGGGAGCUCAGGGCUUGGCGCGGGGAGGCGAGGGCAGCGGAGUUGGGAGCCGCGUCCCGGAGGCGAGGCUCGGCGCGCAGGCAGUAGUGUGGGCAGCCCCAUGCGAGGUCCUUUACGCCGGGGUCCUUAGCCGAGCGCGUGCGUGUGGGUGCGAGCGUGAACGCGCGUGCGAGCGUGCGCGCGGACCGCUGUGCCGCCCCGGCUCCGCCUCCUCCCCCUCCCCCUCCCCGCCUCCUCCCCCUCCCCCUCCCCGCCUCCUCCUCCUCCUCCUCUGCAGUGACAUUGGAUUUAGAGCCGCGAGGUAGAGAACUAGCGAACGCAGCCUCGGAGCCCCGCAGCCGCCCACUCCCGCCGCCACCAUGCUCCGCAUGAUCCUCAGCCAGGCCAAGAAGCACCCGAGCCUGAUCCCCCUGUUUGUGUUCAUCGGAGCCGGGGCCACCGGGGCCUCGCUGUACGUGCUGCGCCUGGCGCUCUUCAACCCCGACGUCAGCUGGGACAGGAAGAACAACCCAGAGCCGUGGAACAAAAUGAACCCCACGGACCAGUACAAGUUCUAUUCAGUGAAUGUGGAUUAUAGCAAACUGAAGAAAGAAGGCCCAGAAUUCUAAGUGAAAACGAUGCUUUCUUGACUGUGAGAAUGAAGGUCUUCCACAAGCCAUCCGCACAAUUCUUCACACAACUAGGAAAUGCUUGAUUUUCCCCUAAUUGCAUGAAAUCAUGUUGAGUUUAACAGACAAAUAAAGAUGUGAAACUUGAGCUGUGGAUUUGAUACUGAUGCAGAAUUCGAACCUAACCCUGUGUGGUC
ensembl:lncRNA